rnacentral:sRNA from 1 species
CCAGUUUUUCUUUGUGCCAAUAAUAAGAAUGGCUGUUCAAACUGGGGGUUUUUUUUGUUGGAUAUACAUGUACCAUAUAAGGUGAUUCAUUGUACUUGUAUGUGGAUAUGAUGAAUAUUGCAUAUGAGACAGUGUAUUAUAUAUGUACAGUAUUUACAACAAACAAAAACAGGGCAGCUGUAUGUUUAUUAACAAUUUUGAAAAAUGAAUUAAACUCACAUUUUUCAUUAAAAAAAAAAUAAAACAUUAUAAUGCCUAAUAGAGAGCAAACACCCAGACAUGUGCAUAUUUAUUUGUAACAGCCACAAGCAGUUGAGGUUUUGAAUUUCCCCCCAAUUUCAACAGUGCCAGGAAGCAUCAUUUCUGACCAUGGAUAUUGUUUACAAGGAAAGAAAUAAAUAGAAUUUAAAAAAAAAAAAAAAAUAGUAAAACUCUUUUCAUGUUGAUCGUUUUCCCCAAUAUUGUUAUAAAUACCCACCAGCCAGUAUUUUUGGUGUGCAACACUUAGAUUACAUGAGUUCAGAUAUCAGACAGUAUGGAAGUUAUUCUGAACUCGGUGAGCAAGUCUAGGAAUGCAACUCUCUUUCACAUUUGUAAAUGUAGUUCAUGAUUCAUCCAUUGGUGUAAUAUACAUGUAGCUGUAAAUUUUGUUUCUUUUUUUUAAUUUUAUACGUGCCUUUUCAGUGUUACAUAUUUGCUGUGUUGCUUCUGUUCUUUCCUAUAGUUUGUAUUGUUAUGUAGAUAUAUUGUUUUCCAGGAAGAAAGUGAAACUAUUUACUUGUGAAUGAUUCCCAGAAUUCAGUGCUUCUUGUGUGUUGAUUGUUGCUUAAUUAAUUUUUGUACCUUUGUUAUAAUAAAAUAUAAAAACACUAGC